UACGUAGGGGGCAAGCGUUAUCCGGAUUUACUGGGUGUAAAGGGAGCGUAGACGGCUAAUCAAGUCAGAAGUGAAAACCCAGGGCUCAACUUUGGGACUGCUUUUGAAACUGAGUAGCUAGAGUGCAGGAGAGGUAAGCGGAAUUCCUAGUGUAGCGGUGAAAUGCGUAGAUAUUAGGAGGAACACCAGUGGCGAAGGCGGCUUACUGGACUGUAACUGACGUUGAGGCUCGAAAGCGUGGGGAGCAAACAGG
rnacentral:rRNA from 1 species